rnacentral:lncRNA from 1 species
AGUUAAGUACUCUUCCCUAGCUCAUCCAUUUAAACUUAUAUGUUCUCUGGCAGAAAGAUUUCCUCGUUAGAGUUAGUCAUUAGGGUUUAGAGGUUGAUGCUCUAACAUAUCUUAUAUUCCUUUCUUGCUAAUGUUUCAAGUGCCUACUUAAUCUGAUCUCAACUGAAGAGCUUUUCUUUCAGGUUUUCUAAAGAAUUUAUCUCUUUUUAAAAAACUUAAAUGUAAAUAUGUAAUAUGUUUUUAAUUCUUACCUUUAUGCUUACUGUUAUGAGUUUCUAUAGUGUCAAAGUAUCUUAGCGAGUUUGUUAGAGAAUUAUUAGUGAGUUUGUUUAUUUGAGGUUCGCCAAUCAGUCUGAUGAAGUUUUAGCAAUUUUUUUGUAACAAGUCCCUUUAUAAUAUGCCUUUUCUCUGAAUUUCGUAUAGCUUUCUACGUUUACUUCCACUUUCCUUAUAUGUUGCCUUUGUCUUUUUUUUUUUUUUUGUUUGCGUGCUAAGUAUUGCCUUUGUCUGUAGCUGAACAUCUUUGUAAGAAAUUUAAUUAGCUUUGUAAAACGACGCUUUGUGAUGAUUUGAUGGAGUAUUUACAUCAUUCUCCAGUUAUUGAUCAGCAAAUGUGGUCCAUUUUUCA